rnacentral:rRNA from 1 species
UACGAAGGGGGCGAGCGUUGUUCGGAGUUACUGGGCGUAAAGGGCGCGUAGGCGGCGAUCCAAGUUAGGCGUGAAAGCCCCGGGCUUAACCUGGGAAUUGCGCUUAAGACUGGACUGCUUGAGUGCGGGAGAGGUGAGUGGAAUUCCCAGUGUAGAGGUGAAAUUCGUAGAUAUUGGGUGGAACACCGGUGGCGAAAGCGGCUCACUGGCUCGGUUCUGACGCUGAGGCGCGAAAGCGUGGGGAGCAAACAGG